rnacentral:lncRNA from 1 species
UGAUUUUUUUUGAUUUUAAUUCUUUUUCUUUUAUUAUUUUAAAUGGCUUUUUCUUUAAAAAAUCAUAGUAAUUUCAUUUUUUAUCCAAAAAAAUCCCAAAAUAAUUUCUAAAAUUCUCUUUUAUUUUUCUUCAUCUGAUUUUUAUUUUUCCGCAUUUUAUUUCACUAAUUAUCUAUUUUUUAUGAAUUUUCUAUUUUCUCCUUUGUUUUAAUUGGUUUAAAAAUAUUUUUCUGCAUUUUUAAAUUCUGAAAAUUUUAUUAUAUGCUUCUCAUUUUAUU